GCCGGGCGCAGUGGCGCGCGCCUGUAGUCCUAGCUACUCGGGAGGCUGAGGCAGGAGGAUCGCUUGAGUCCAGGAGUUCUGGGCUGCAGUGCGCUAUGCCGAUCGGGUGUCCGCACUAAGUUCGGCAUCAAUAUGGUGACCUCCCGGGAGCGGGGGACCACCAGGUUGCCUAAGGAGGGGUGAACCGGCCCAGGUCGGAAACGGAGCAGGUCAAAAUGAUGUACAGAACUUAGAGAUUAUUUAAAGUUGAACAGAAAUAUUCAUUCUGUAGGACACAAAAUUUCA
rnacentral:SRP_RNA from 1 species